rnacentral:rRNA from 1 species
UGCGUAGGUGGCAAGCGUUGUCCGGAUUUACUGGGCGUAAAGAGCGCGCAGGCGGUCGGAUAAGUCGAAUGUGAAAGCCCCCGGCUCAACUGGGGAGGGUCAUUCGAUACUGUUCGACUCGAAGGCAGGAGAGGGAAGUGGAAUUCCCGGUGUAGUGGUGAAAUGCGUAGAUAUCGGGAGGAACACCAGUGGCGAAGGCGACUUCCUGGCCUGUUCUUGACGCUGAGGCGCGAAAGCUAGGGGAGCAAACGGG